rnacentral:rRNA from 1 species
AUUGAACGCUGGAGGUAUGCUUAACACAUGCAAGUCGAACGUGAAAGUUCUUCGGAACGAGUAGAGUGGCGGACGGGUGAGUAACACGUAGGAAUCUACCUAGUAGUGGGGGACAACCUGGUGAAAACCAGGCUAAUACCGCAUAUGCACUACGGUGUAAAGAGGGCCUCUUCUUGAAAGCUCUUGCUAUUAGAUGAGCCUGCGUCGGAUUAGCUUGUUGGUGAGGUAAUGGCUCACCAAGGCGACGAUCCGUAGCUGGUCUGAGAGGAUGAUCAGCCACACUGGGACUGAGACACGGCCCAGACUCCUACGGGAGGCAGCAGUGGGGAAUAUUGGACAAUGGGGGCAACCCUGAUCCAGCAAUACCUCGUGUGUGAAGAAGGCCCUAGGGUUGUAAAGCACUUUCAAUUGGGACGAAAAGUUUAAGUUUAAUAAACUUAGACCUUGACGGUACCUUUAGAAGAAGCACCGGCUAACUCCG